rnacentral:rRNA from 1 species
GAUGAACGCUAGCGGCAGGCUUAACACAUGCAAGUCGAGGGGCAGCACAGGUAGCAAUACUGGGUGGCGACCGGCAAACGGGUGCGGAACACGUACACAAUCUGCCUUUAUCUGGGGAAUAGCCCGAAGAAAUUCGGAUUAAUACCCCAUAACAUAUUUGGAUGGCAUCAUUUGAAUAUUAAAACUCCGGUGGAUAAAGAUGAGUGUGCGUCCCAUUAGCUAGUUGGCUGGGUAACGGCCUACCAAGGCGACGAUGGGUAGCUGGUGUGAGAGCACGACCAGCCACACGGGCACUGAGACACGGGCCCGACUCCUACGGGAGGCAGCAGUGAGGAAUAUUGGUCAAUGGACGCAAGUCUGAACCAGCCAUGCCGUGUGAAGGAUGAAGGCCUUCUGGGUUGUAAACUUCUUUUAUUGGGGAAGAAAAUUACGGUUUCUACUGUAACCGACGGUACCCAAGGAAUCAGCACCGGCUAACUCCGUGCCAGCCGCCGCGGUAA